rnacentral:lncRNA from 1 species
GCUAAUAUGCUUGAUUUUCAAUAGAAAAUCGAGGAGUCUAUAAGAGAAUUAACCACAUCAAUUGAGAAAAUGAACUCACAAGGGAAGCUACCGUCACAAGGGAAGUUGCCAUCAUAAACGAAACCUAAUCCAAGACAACACGCAAAUGCAGUGACGUUGCAAAGUGGAAAAGUACUGGAACCAAUUCCUGGCAAAAAUCUUGGCCAAGAUUCCUCUUAAGAAUAGCACGAGAACGAUGAAC